UUUUAUUUUUAUCACUUUGAGAUUGACACCCAAACACUCUGAUAUGUUCGUACUGGAGCUUCUGCUACAAAUUCCAAGCAGUACAGCAUGUCGUUUCCAAAUUUCUGGCAGAGUGAAUUAUGUCAUGGUGUUGUUUUUCUCACAGACUGU